CGAUGCCAACCUUAUGAAGUUCAACCAAGCCAAGGGCAAUCCCAGGCACAGCUACAGGUUAGGUGGAGAAGUGAUUCGGAGCAGCCCUACAGAGGAGGACUUGGGCAUGUUGGUCGAUGAGAAACUGAACA